GGCCUCAAAUAACGUGUGAC
rnacentral:rRNA from 1 species